AGGACGAACGCUGGCGGCGUGCUUAACACAUGCAAGUCGAGCGGAAAGGCCCUUCGGGGUACUCGAGCGGCGAACGGGUGAGUAACACGUGAGCAACCUGCCCUUAGCUCUGGGAUAGCUCCGGGAAACCGGAAUUAAUACCGGAUAUGACCUAGGCCGACAUCGGCCGUGGUGGAAAGUUUUUCGGCUAGGGAUGGACUCGCGGCCUAUCAGCUAGUUGGUGGGGUAAUGGCCUACCAAGGCGACGACGGGUAGCCGGCCUGAGAGGGCGACCGGCCACACUGGGACUGAGACACGGCCCAGACUCCUACGGGAGGCAGCAGUGGGAAUCUUGCGCAAUGGGCGAAAGCCUGACGCAGCGACGCCGCGUGGGGAUGAAGGCCUUCGGGUUGUAACCCCUUUCAGCAGGGACGAAGCGAAAGUGACGGUACCUGCAGAAGAAGCGCCGGCUAACUACGCGCCAGCAGCCGC
rnacentral:rRNA from 1 species